rnacentral:rRNA from 1 species
UACGUAGGGGGCUAGCGUUGUCCGGAUUUAUUGGGCGUAAAGAGCGUGUAGGCGGCCAGGUAGGUCUGCUGUGAAAACUCGAGGCUCAACCUCGAGACGUCGGCGGAAACCAUCUGGCUAGAGUCCGGAAGAGGAGAGUGGAAUUCCUGGUGUAGCGGUGAAAUGCGCAGAUAUCAGGAGGAACACCGAUGGCGAAGGCAGGUCUCUGGGCCACUACUGACGCUGAGAAGCGAAAGCAUGGGGAGCGAACAGG